UACGGGGGGGGCAAGCGUUGUUCGGAAUUACUGGGCGUAAAGGGCUCGUAGGUGGCCAACUAAGUCAGACGUGAAAUCCCUCGGCUUAACCGGGGAACUGCGUCUGAUACUGGAUGGCUUGAGUUCGGGAGAGGGAUGCGGAAUUCCAGGUGUAGCGGUGAAAUGCGUAGAUAUCUGGAGGAACACCGGUGGCGAAGGCGAGUCCCUGGUCCGCUUCUGACGCUGAGGCGCGAAAGCGUGGGUAGCAAACAGG
rnacentral:rRNA from 1 species